rfam:Schistosoma margrebowiei strain Zambia genome assembly, scaffold: SMRZ_scaffold0000278
AUCCAGCUGACGAGUUCAAAAUAAGACGAAAUUCAUGUCUUGAAU